UACAAGUGAUGAUAAAGCUUUAGCAUGGCAUAGUUCAACUGACAGGGGACUUACUACCCUCUGAGUGUUGACUUCAAAAUUCUUUCGCUCCUAUCUGAUACUUUCU
rnacentral:snoRNA from 1 species